rnacentral:rRNA from 1 species
GGGUUACGCGCUCAGCGCCCGACCUCCAACCCUUUGUUGUUAAAACUACCUUGUUGCUUUGGCGGGACCGCUCGGUCUCGAGCCGCUGGGGAUUCGUCCCAGGCGAGCGCCCGCCAGAGUUAAACCAAACUCUUGUUAUUAAACCGGUCGUCUGAGUUAAAAUUUUGAAUAAAUCAAAACUUUCAACAACGGAUCUCUUGGUUCUCGCAUCGAUGAAGAACGCAGCGAAAUGCGAUAAGUAAUGUGAAUUGCAGAAUUCAGUGAAUCAUCGAAUCUUUGAACGCACAUUGCGCCCCUUGGUAUUCCGAGGGGCAUGCCUGUUCGAGCGUCAUUACACCACUCAAGCUAUGCUUGGUAUUGGGUGCCGUCCUUAGUUGGGCGCGCCUUAAAGACCUCGGCGAGGCCUCACCGGCUUUAGGCGUAGUAGAAUUUAUUCGAACGUCUGUCAAAGGAGAGGACUUCUGCCGACUGAAACCUUUAUUUUUCUAGGUUGACCUCGGAUCAGGUAGGGAUACCCGCUGAACUUAAGCAUAUCAAUAAGCCGGAGGAAAGAUAUUUUGGGCC